UAUAUUAUAGAAAUCAUAUUUCUAAAGAACGACACAUAAACAAUGAUAAAUUUUAUUUCAAACAACGUGUUCAUAUUAAGUAGAUAGUGAAUUUUAAAAGUUGUAAAAUUAGUUACAUUUCACAUUUUUUAAUGUUCUGCAGUCUACUGCAUGGAUAGGCUUAAAGUUCACCAGAUCUGCCACUCGCUCUUGUUUGAGCGCUAACUAUCAUCAACUCUCAUUAGCUUCAAGCAAGUUCAAAUUUUGAUCACAACUGGACAGAAAUAAACAAACGUAAAGGGAAAUGACAAUACGUUUCCUCCGUUUGAAAGACUGAUUCAACAAAUUUCAAAAUCUUAUCACAGAUUUUUUUAUCGUUUUUGGUAUAAAAGAUAUUGCACUUCAUGUCAUUUCAAACAAAAUACUUAACAUGCAUUCCGCCAUCUUGGAUAUGCAUAUCCAUCGUCGGUAUGCGUGACGUCACAACCGGAGUAACAUCACUUUUUAUCUUGAGCAAUUCUCGGGUCAUUUUAAUGCUAUGUAAUUGCUAUAAUACCGUCUAAUUUAAUCAAUAGCUCAAGCUAUGUAUAAGCCUUUCACUGAUAUUACUUUUUUAGUUUAAAACGUCUACCCUGGUUGUGGCUUCAUUGAAUUAGCCUCUCUCACGAAGGCCAAAAUCCGCCAUUUUGGGGGUACUGUCUGCCCUCGUGAAAGUUUCUAGACAAUUCAGACAACGUAAAAAGCGACUUUUAAAAGUCGUAACCGUAAGUUUACCACUACACAAACAACUAUAGGCUACUAUAAUUUACCAUUACACAAACAACUUUUUUAAAAUUGUGUUUCGUGGUGCGGAGACUCUCAAACGCGGGAGACGCAGUACCCCCAAAAUGGCGGAAAAAUCGGCCGUGAGAAUACCCUGGAUUCCAGAGCCUUCGACAGUAAAUAAUAAAUUGAAAUGUCGCGAAGGCUCUGGUUCAACGGGGCGAUUCUUUGAUUAAGCCGCGCCAAUCACAAAACAUAAUUAGUGGUUUUAGUACAGAUUCUGUACAGAUUCUGUGAUUGGCGCGGCUUAAUCAAAGAAUCGCCCCGUUGAAUCAGAGCCUUCGCGACAUUUCAAUUUAUUAUUUACUGUCGAAGGCUCUGGAAUCCAGGGUACCGUGAGAAAGGCUAAUUACAUCUAAUAAAAAACAAGAUGGCGGAUAUCAGAAUGUUUUGAUUUCAAAUAUUUCAAAAAUUAAGAUAGUUUGGGAAUAUUUGAAAAAGGAUUUGUAAUCUCAAAGUUCUUUGAAAUCAGACAAAUAUAAGUUCUUUGUAGGAUUACAUGGCGAUAAAACAUGAUACUUUUUGUUUGUGGAAACACCGCGUAAAUUUACGUGGUGUUUCCACAAACAAAAAAAUAUUAUAUAAGCCAAAUAUAAUCUUUGUUGCCAUUUUCCUUCAAGGAAUGCUUAAUCUAGUACAGAAUAGUCACCAAAACUCAUAGAGUCGACUACAUUAAACAAGGGAAAAACAAAUUUAAACUGCUCUCAAGCUUGAGACGAUCUAGCUUGUCAUACCGUUCUAUAUUAUACAUUGAACAUUUACUUGUUACAUGAGGCUUGGCACAAGUUAAAAGGAAUAAGGUUUAAAAGAGAAUUAUUUACAUUUAUACAUUCAAGCUAAAACAUGCAUAUGAUCAUUAUUUGCCUUUGAAGACAACCGAUAUUUCUCUUAAACAACUCUUAAUAGGCCCUCCAAAAUGUUUUCCGCCAUCUUGAAUCUAUUGUUUUAAUCAUUGUGUUUGUACCCCUUGCAAAUUUACGUAUAGGGAAUUCUAUUGUGUUUCAUUAUGGCGUCUUUAACCUUGGAAGGGUCUAUUAGUACUAUUCAAUACAGAUCUACGUAAUAAAAACCCCAAAUGAAUUCGAAAGUAAUAAAUUGCACAUUUCAAUGGCAUUGGCAAACUCACUGAUCUAAAACCAGCAAAUAACCAAUGGAUAGAGCGUGUUUUUCACAUCAAUGAUUUUGAAGCAAGAAUUUUUAUAAUGAGAAGAGAUUUUAAAAAAUGGUAAUAAAAAUCUUUUACAAAUCGAAUUGUAACGUGUUUAAACUAGUUUUCAUAACAAGGAAAUGUUCUUUUCUAUAUGAAAGUUGAAAGAUAUGGCUUUCCAUGCAUUUCCAUUCUAAUGAGUUUUAGAACGUUUUAAACAUUAAUAAUGAGUGUUGAAGCGGCAAUAUUGAUGUGACCUCAUUAGUUAUUCACUCGCAAAUUAAACAGCAGAAAGAGAGGCCACUGAGGAUCAAUUUCUAUGUAGACAAUGUACGUAUCCUUUCCCACUUAAAACCAAAAGCGCUGAGAACUUUUUCCAACACGUCAACACCAAAACAGUAGUUUUGUGAUGGUCCCACUAAUAUGGCCGUCAUUGUUUCAGUUCUACAUAACAGACCGUUAUCCAGUCAUAGUUUUGAGCUCAGUGGCCAACUCCCUAUAUAGUGCUCUAUCUUGAAAUAGCGAUGGAAAUCACAUAUACACAGGAAAAAAAUAAAAUACCAUUAAAGCUGAACAAUUAAACAGCAUGGUCUUUACCAAUAAUGUAUGGGAGUUUAGUUUUUCCAUGCAUGAAUGAUAUAAAAAUUCAGUUUUUCCAUGAAUGGUAAAAAUUCAGUUUUUCCAUGAAUGGUAUAAAAAUUCAGUUUUUCCAUGAAUGGUAUAAAAGUUCAGUUUUUCCAUAGUUUCUACAUGGUAAACUUUAAAAACUCUUCAAAUCUCAUUAUUUGAAAUUUUUUCCCUGUGAUAUACGGCUACUAUCCAUUACUACAUUUAUAUAAACUUCUUAUUAUUGGAUGUUUGUAGCAUAUCAUUUUAUGCUUGAUUUAGGAACAGAUUACAUGGACAUUUUCAACUCAAGCUAAAAUUUCAACCCAGUCCGGGCUUCGCACAAAAUCCUUGUAGAACAGAGCACCAGACAAAAUUUCAGCCGUGAUAUAAAUUUCAGCCCGUGUUGAAACUUCAUGAUCCUUCGGGGUUUGAACUACCCGGGAUGAAAAUUUCAUCUCCGUUGACCGGCUUGAAAAUCGUCAUGUGCAAUCGACAAGGAAUUUCAGCCCGGGUUUAAAAAGCAAUCGAUAUAAAAUAUUUAUAUGGCUUUAUUUUUGCGACUAGUGCAACCAUAAUCUCGUACACGAAGUCAAAUAUUCGAAAUAAUAUUUUAAAUGAUUUAAAAAGAGGAAUCAACUUUCUAUUGAAAUUGAGCCUGGGUUGAAAAGUUUUCAAGUAAUUGGCCUCUAAUAUAUAUCUUUCAUUUCGUAAUUGUAAAUGUGUGCUCUAUGCCUUUUUGUCUUUCAAUGCUAAUCGGCUAAAACAGAUCAUUCGCUCUUGUCUUACAAUUGCUACUUUCUUAAUACUCAUUUAAGGAAUAUUUCACAUUUACUGUAGUUUAAUUAUUUUGUUUUAAUUAUAAUGAUUAUUGUUAUUUUGUGCCGUGUAUUUGUAACAUGUUAUUGCAGUUAUAUUAUGUGCGCGAAUAUUGAUUCAAACAGGCCGUUAUUAUAGAUUAUACUUCAAUUACUGUAGAUUUACAAUUGUUCAAUAUCUAAAAAAAUCAUUUGAUAAAGUUUGCAC